rnacentral:rRNA from 1 species
GCAGUCGAGCGGUAGAGAGAAGCUUGCUUCUCUUGAGAGCGGCGGACGGGUGAGUAAUGCCUAGGAAUCUGCCUGGUAGUGGGGGAUAACGUUCGGAAACGGACGCUAAUACCGCAUACGUCCUACGGGAGAAAGCAGGGGACCUUCGGGCCUUGCGCUAUCAGAUGAGCCUAGGUCGGAUUAGCUAGUUGGUGGGGUAAUGGCUCACCAAGGCGACGAUCCGUAACUGGUCUGAGAGGAUGAUCAGUCACACUGGAACUGAGACACGGUCCAGACUCCUACGGGAGGCAGCAGUGGGGAAUAUUGGACAAUGGGCGAAAGCCUGAUCCAGCCAUGCCGCGUGUGUGAAGAAGGUCUUCGGAUUGUAAAGCACUUUAAGUUGGGAGGAAGGGCAGUAAAUUAAUACUUUGCUGUUUUGACGUUACCGACAGAAUAAGCACCGGCUAACUCUGUGCCAGCAGCCGCGGUAAUACAGAGGGUGCAAGCGUUAAUCGGAAUUACUGGGCGUAAAGCGCGCGUAGGUGGUUAGUUAAGUUGGAUGUGAAAUCCCCGGGCUCAACCUGGGAACUGCAUUCAAAACUGACUGACUAGAGUAU